GACGAACGCUGGCGGCGUGCUUAACACAUGCAAGUCGAACGGAAAGGCCCCUUUGGGGGUACUCGAGUGGCGAACGGGUGAGUAACACGUGAGUAACCUGCCCUUGACUUCGGGAUAACUUCAGGAAACUGGGGCUAAUACCGGAUAGGAAUCCUUGCUGCAUGGUGGGGGUUGGAAAGCUUCGGCGGUUUUGGAUGGACUCGCGGCCUAUCAGCUUGUUGGUGGGGUAGUGGCUUACCAAGGCUUUGACGGGUAGCCGGCCUGAGAGGGCGACCGGCCACAUUGGGACUGAGAUACGGCCCAGACUCCUACGGGAGGCAGCAGGGGGGAAUAUUGCACAAUGGGCGGAAGCCUGAUGCAGCAACGCCGCGUGCGGGAUGACGGCCUUCGGGUUGUAAACCGCUUUCAGCAGGGGCGAAGCUUGUGGUGACGGUACCUGCAGAAGAAGCACCGGCUAACUACGUG
rnacentral:rRNA from 1 species